UAACGUUAGAGUUUACCUUAAAUUUGCUGUAGCGAAGUUAGUUUAGCUAGCUAGCUAUGUUUCUAAAAUGUCUUUAUUUCUGUGUCUUUACUUAAUUGCAGAGGUCAAGGCCAAUGAAUGGACAGCUUUGUAAAGAUAUGUUGAGUGAGUGGAACCUGUAUGGUCUCUUUGAUUCCAAAGUUUUGGGCGGAAGAUAUGGACCAGGAAACGCUCUUGCUUUUAGACGACUUGACUAUAGCCUGAAGUUAAAGAAGAACAUAAACGACAAGUCAAAUGUGAGAUGACCAAGCGGCUGAACAACAUCUGGCUGGAAAACUAGGUUGCGGUGUCCAUGAGGGAGACCGCGAUCCAGAGAAAUCUGCAAGGCAGUUAACCACCAACAACAACUGCUUCCUGGACGAAGGACUUUUAUUUUCUUCAUUACCAUACUGAUUUCAUGUAGAAAUAUAUACAUUUAUCUGUUAAAGACAUUGAAUACAUGUUUAGCAUAUUUACU
ensembl:lncRNA